UACGUAGGGUGCGAGCGUUGUUCGGAUUUACUGGGCGUAAAGGGCGCGUAGGCGGCGCAACAAGUCACUUGUGAAAUCUCCGGGCUUAACCCGGAGCGGUCAAGUGAUACUGUCGUGCUAGAGUGCGGAAGGGGCUACUGGAAUUCUCGGUGUAGCGGUGGAAUGCGUAGAUAUCGAGAGGAACACCUGCGGCGAAGGCGGGUAGCUGGGCCGACACUGACGCUGAUGCGCGAAAGCCAGGGGAGCGAACGGG
rnacentral:rRNA from 1 species